CCCCAAAUCCUUUUUUUUCAGUCCAAAAAACCCAUUUUUUACCCCGAGAAAACUCUUUUUUACCCAAAACCUCUCAUUUUGUACCUAGAACUUCUCAUUUUUUACCCAAACCCCCCCUUUUCCACCCCAAAAUCCCCAAUUUUUCCCCAAACCCCCUUUUUUUUUACCCCAAACCCCCUUUUUUUACCCCAAGUUCUUCUUUUCUACCCAAAAAGACUCUUUUUCACCCCAAGAAAACUUUUUUUUUACUCAAAACUCCCGUUUUUCACCCCAAACUCUCCUUUUUUAUCCAAAACUCUUCUUUUUUCCCCAACAAACCCCCUUUUUUUCCAAAAACCUCUCCUUUUCCACCCCCAAAUCCCCCAGUUUUUCCCCAAAUCCCCUUUUUUACCUCAAAACCCCAUUUCUACUCCCAAAUUCUUCUUUUUCACCCAAAAAGACUCUUUUUCACCCAAAGAAAACUCUUUUUUUCCCCAAACUCCCCUUUUUUUCCUCAAACCCCCCUUUUUACCCCUAAAUUCUCCUUUUUUACCCCAACCCCCCCUUUUUUUUCCCAAAAUCCUCUCCUUUUUCACCCCCAAAUCCCCCUUUUUUCCCCCAAAUCCCCCUUUUUUUACCCCAAAACCCCAUUUUUACUCCCAAAUUCUCCUUUUUCACCCAAAAAGACUUUUUCACCCCAAGAAGACCCUUUUUUUUCCCCAAACCCCCCUUUUUACCCCUAAAUUCUCCUUUUUUACCCAAAAAAACAUUUUUUUUCAAAAACCCUCUCCUUUUUCACCCCCAAAUCCCCCAAUUUUUCCCCAAAUCCCUUUUUUUCCCCAAAAACCCCAUUUUUUACCCCCAAAUUCUCCUUUUUCACCCAAAAAGACUCUUUUUCACCCAAAGAAAACUCUUUUUUACCCCAAAACCCCAUUUCCCCCCCCAAAUUCUCCUUUUUCACCAAAAAACACUCUUUUUCACCCAAAAAACUCUCUUUUUUUACUCAAACCAAAACUUUUUUAUCCAAAACUCUUCAUUUUUCCCCCAACAACCCCUCCUUUUUCCCCAAAACUCUCCUUUUUUCCCCCAAAACCCUCCUUUUCCCCCAAAAACCUCAUUUUUUUUCUCCUCCCUUUUCCAUUCUUUCCCUAA
rnacentral:lncRNA from 1 species